AUAUUGGAACACUUCUAACAGAGUUGUUCACAUAUGGAAUAAAUUGCCCAAGGAUGUGGUUAUGUCAAGCUCUGUUAACCAAUUCAAGAAUAGAUUGGACAAACAUUUGGAAAACUCGAAACACUUCUGAUAUAGACGCAUCAGCGAAAGUUGCUUAGUCUGUUAUAAAUAAUAAUAAUAUUAUAGAAAACGAACAUAUAAUUAUUAA